AUGCGAGCUGAGCUGGUUGCAGCAGUGAAGGCGGCCGCAGAGACGGUGGGCUUCUUCCAGGUGGUGAACCACGGCGUGCCCAAGGCUGUCAUGUCGGAGAUGCUCGCAGCAGUGCUGGGUUUCCACGAGGAGCCGGUAGGGGCCAAGGCGCUCUACUACGGCCGGGACUAUGGUCGGCCUGUGAGGUACUGGAGCAUCUUCGACUUGUUCCAGUCACAGGCGGCCAACUGGCGCGGCACCUUGAUCAUCGAUACGGCGCCGGAGCUGCCGCCGCCUAAGGAGAUCCCACCCACAUGCAGGAGCAUUGCACCCAAGUACGUGAGGAUGAUGCAGCAGCUGGGACGCACCCUGCUUGAGCUGCUGUCGGAGGCGCUGGGCCUUCGCAGUGGCCACUUGGAGGAGGACGCCGCAUGCCUGGAGAGGCUCGCCGGCCAAUACUACCCGCCCUGCCCGGAGCCGCACCUGACACUCGGCACCACGCAUCACUCUGACCCUUGCUUCCUCGUCGUGCUUCUCCAGGACGCCGUCGGUGGCCUCCAGGUGCUUCUCGAGGAAGACUGCGAUGGCAACAACAACAAGAAGAAGUCGUCUGCUGUGUGGGUGGAUGUACCGGCGGUAGAAGGUGCGCUGGUGGUGAACGUCGGCGACUUCCUGCAGAUCGUCUCCAACGACAGGUUCAAGAGCGUGGAGCACCGUGUGGUGUCCCAGAGCGUCGGGCCUCGCGUCUCUGUGGCAAGCUUCUUCCGAAGGCAGGACGCGGCCACGUCCACAAGAGUGCUAGCGCCAAUCAUCGCCGACGGCGAGGCGCGGUACAGGAGCACGACGAUGGCGGACCUGGUCCGGCACAGCAGGGCCAAGGGCCUCGACGGUAGCUCUGCGCUGCAGCACUUGAGGCUCUGA
rnacentral:rRNA from 1 species